CGUCUGCAAAAUAUUGAAAUUAGCGUAUAAAUACACAAUAGCCUUGGUUAUGGCUUGGUUGAAACUUUUCUUUUGAGAAAAAGCUAUAAUAUGGGCAAAGGAAAAAAAAUUAGGGAAUCUAAUGAAGAAGUUGAAGAAAAGCCUCUGCCAAGGCUUGUUUUGAAAGUAGAUCAGGAGAAAAAAUUAAAAGAUCCAAUGAGAGAGCAUGAUUUAUAUCAAAAAAGCAAGAGAUUUAAAGAAGGAUCCACUCUUUCGGAAAAUGAACACACUCAUCAUAAGAAGAAAAGAAAAAAGCACAAAAGAGCUAGAAAUGAGGAGUCAGAAAGAAAGCAAAAGAAACAAGUAGAUACUGAAAAUGUUGACUUAGAGCCUGUUAUGAAGAAAAUACACAUAAAAUUUACAAAAGAAGAAGAGAAACUUCAAAAAGAAGCAGAAGUAUCUCCAUUAAAUAAUGUUAAAGUAUCUCCAUUGCGUUUGUGUUUGGAAAAUUUGCACAGAAAUUUGCAGAGAAAAGAUAUUUAUGGAAUCUUUACAAAUCCUGUUACCGACUUAAUUGCACCUGGCUAUUCUAAAAUCAUUAGGCAACCAAUGGAUUUUCAAACAAUGGCGCUCAAGAUUGAACGAAACGAAUAUGCUUCUAUUGAAUCAUUUAAGGAUGAUUACAUCAUAAUGUGUAAUAAUGCAAUGAGAUAUAAUGGAUCAGAUACUAUUUAUUACAAAUCAGCAGAAAAGAUGCUGGCUAUUGGAUUAAAGAUGAUGUCAAAAAAAAAGCUGAGAAAACUUCAAAGACUCAUUGGAAAACCAAUAUCUGAUUCAGAGGAUGAACUGAUUCUAGUUGAUGAAUCUUCAGACAUUAAUAUCGAUUCAUACAGCCCUGAAAGAUUGCAAAACAAAAAGAAAGAUUUUGAAAAAAUCAAAAAAGAGCGUGAUUCAAUAAAACAUCAAACCUUUGUCAAUUCUAUUUUGCAUGCAUCAAAAAUGGCAGCCAAAAAAUUGUACAAUAAAUAUCCCAAACAAAAGUAUGGAUAUCUAAUGAAGGAUAGCCAAGGCAAUACCUCAUUGAAUAUUUUAAAUCCUGAUACAACAGAAGAUAAUAAGACUGCACCAGUUACAUUGGGGAAGAUAACAGGAAAGCUAACAACUGGAAUAACUUUGGAUCAAACUUUUUUUAAAGAUGAAAAAAAAAGCAGAAACAUACCGGUAACUUAUUUGCUCUAUGGGCCUUACGGUAGCUUUGGUCCUACAUAUGAUUCUUCAUUAUCAAAUAUGAAGAAAGAAGAAAGUGAUCUGCUCAUGCAAGCUUACGGUACAGAGGAGGGAGUGGAGUAUGCAAAAAGUUUGCUGGAAUUUUGUAAAGGAAAUUCAUUUUUAAUGGAGUAUGCAGAUCGUCUACUAAAUACUGUCACAGAUGGAGAGCACACCCGAUUAAUAAAACAGACUGAGCCUAAUUCAUUACUUGGUACUGUGGAAACUAAAGAUGAAGCAAAAAAAUUAGACAUGGAUUCUUUGCUGUCAUUAAAUGGACUUGGUAUUGAUGUAUCAUUUCUCAACAAAAUUACUUCUGAGAAAAGUAAUUCAGUAGAAAAAAGUAUUUUGGCGAAAAAUUCUUUACAAAAAAGUGAUCAAAAGAGUAAUAUGGCACCUCAACAGUUGCUCAGCAACAAUGUUGAGCUUCUUCAAAAUUUAAAUAAAGCUCAAAAUGAAAGAUUUUCAGCAAGAACUCUUCAAAAUGUGGAUGAUAAUGAACAAAGUAUUGCAACCUCAUUGGUUGACAUCUGAAAGUUGUAAAUAUUGUUUUCUCACACAACAACCUGAUUGGUUGACAAUCUGAAAGAUUUAAUUAUUGUUUUCUUACACAGCGAACUCAUUGGUUGACAAUUUGAAAGAUUUAGUUGGAAGAGUUGCGCCAAAAGAUGUAGUAGCUUCUCAAGGCAUACAUAAAGCUAUUGGCAACACUGCAUACCCUUUAACUAGUGAAAUGGACAACGAAGCUGCCUC
rnacentral:misc_RNA from 1 species